UACGUAGGGGGCAAGCGUUGUCCGGAUUUACUGGGCGUAAAGAGCGUGUAGGCGGCCACGCAGGUCCGUUGUGAAAACUGGAGGCUCAACCUCCAGCUGUCGACGGAAACCGUGUGGCUAGAGUCCGGAAGAGGAGAGUGGAAUUCCGUGGUGUAGCGGUGAAAUGCGCAGAUAUCAGGAGGAACACCGGUGGCGAAGGCGGUUCUCUGGGCAUUACCUGACGCUGAGGAGCGAAAGUGUGGGGAGCGAACAGG
rnacentral:rRNA from 1 species